UGAGGAAUAUUGGUCAAUGGGCGGAAGCCUGAACCAGCCAAGUCGCGUGAGGGAAGACGGUCCUACGGAUUGUAAACCUCUUUUGUCGGGGAGCAAAGAGGCCACGUGUGGCAAGAUGAGCGUACCCGAAGAAAAAGCAUCGGCUAACUCCGUGCCAGCAGCCGCGGUAAUACGGAGGAUGCGAGCGUUAUCCGGAUUUAUUGGGUUUAAAGGGUGCGCAGGCGGUUCAUCAAGUCAGCGGUAAAAAUUCGGGGCUCAACCCCGUCCUGCCGUUGAAACUGACGAGCUGGAGUGCGACAGAGGAAUGCGGAAUGCGAGGUGUAGCGGUGAAAUGCAUAGAUAUC
rnacentral:rRNA from 1 species